UUUAGAGGAAGUAAAAGUCGUAACAAGGUCUCCGUUGGUGAACCAGCGGAGGGAUCAUUACAGAGUUAUCCAACUCCCAAACCCAUGUGAACAUAUCUCUUUGUUGCCUCGGCGCAAGCUACCCGGGACCUCGCGCCCCGGGCGGCCCGCCGGCGGACAAACCAAACUCUGUUAUCUUCGUUGAUUAUCUGAGUGUCUUAUUUAAUAAGUCAAAACUUUCAACAACGGAUCUCUUGGUUCUGGCAUCGAUGAAGAACGCAGCGAAAUGCGAUAAGUAAUGUGAAUUGCAGAAUUCAGUGAAUCAUCGAAUCUUUGAACGCACAUUGCGCCCAUUAGUAUUCUAGUGGGCAUGCCUGUUCGAGCGUCAUUUCAACCCCUAAGCACAGCUUAUUGUUGGGCGUCUACGUCUGUAGUGCCUCAAAGACAUUGGCGGAGCGGCAGCAGUCCUCUGAGCGUAGUAAUUCUUUAUCUCGCUUCUGUUAGGCGCUGCCCCCCCGGCCGUAAAACCCCCAAUUUUUUCUGGUUGACCUCGGAUCAGGUAGGAAUACCCGCUGAACUUAAGCAUAUCAAUAAG
rnacentral:rRNA from 1 species